GACUAAAGUAGUUUAAUAAAAACAUCAGACUGUGGCACUGAAAAAACCAGUUAAAACCUGGUCUUAAGUC
rnacentral:tRNA from 1 species